UACCAGCACCCCGAGUGGUCGGGACGAUUAUUGGGCCUAAAGCAUCCGUAGCCGGCCUUACAAGUCCUCCGUUAAAUCCAGCUGCUUAACAGAUGGGCUGCGGAGGAUACUAUAAGACUAGGAGGCAGGAGAGGCAAGCGGUACUCAGUGGGUAGGGGUAAAAUCCGUUGAUCCAUUGAAGAACACCAGUGGCGAAGGCGGCUCACUGGCCCGGUACUGACGCUGAGGUGCGAAAGCGUGGGGAGCAAACAGG
rnacentral:rRNA from 1 species